GGUAGAAUGGCUGAGGUAUAAGCAAUAAACUGUAAAUUUAAUAACGAGAAUAUUCUCUUCUAUCA
rnacentral:tRNA from 2 species